UUUUGCUCCGCUGACACUUCUUCUUGUGAGAUCACAUUGAGAUCAAGAGCGCUGCUGGUAACAUUGUGGUUGUUGGGGGCGGAAGGGGGCGAGGGAGGCGGGUGGUGCGCCUCGAGGGCGCUCUCGCACGAGGCGCUCCACUCGUCGUCCUGGUCGGGUGCGGGGGUGGCGACUUCCUCAUUGUCACUGUCCGUCUGCUCACUGCUCUCCCGAGGUGCGCGUUCUUCGUCAGGGCACACCUCGCAGCAGUAGACAUGACUCUCGGUCUCGUAGCAGUUGGCCAGGCUGAGUUGGGCGCCGCAACGCGCACAACGCAGACACCGCCGAUGGAAGGUGCGGCCGCCUAUACGUAAUCGCUCAGCCAGGAAGACAGCCUCUCCGCACCCCUCGCACAACUCCCGACGUCCCAACACCAACCCGCUCUGGAAAAAGUGGGCGCCUGAAAACCUCGGUGGACACUGGCAGAGUCCGUUGGGGCUGCACUGGCCGUGGGGUCCGCAGCCGCCGCACCUGCCACCUGCGCACGGACACAACACAAACAAAUACAAACACCGCGCUAGCCACGCCAAACGAGACGACAUUGACAGUUAAGCAAAAGCGGGGAGGAGACCCUUGCAAAGGUCGCGGUCACUUACAUUGCGUCUGGCAGGGGCCCCAGACGGCGCCCGAGGAGCGCGCCCUGCCCGCCAACUGCACGCCCGGCCCUUCCAGGAUGCACCCCUCGAAGCCGUCGCCGCCCACGAUCAGGGUUGUCGCCUCCGACCCAGCCGCCUCCGGCUCGCCCAGCACGCUCACCUGAAACAGGGGAGGCAACAAAAGAUCGAUGGUUUACAAAAAGUGGGUAAAUUGAGAACUGACCUCGCCGAUGCCUGGUGAGGAGAGGGUGACGUUUCCGAGGCGGUCGGCGACCUCGACCGUGUGCCAGCGGUUGUCCAGCAGCCGACUGGACGGGAGCAGCGUGUCCACCCGAGAGCCGCCAGCGGCCAGUUGGGACAGCAGCAGGCCGUCUGGCCGCAGCUCAAGCGAGAGGCCGGGGACCCCCGGCCGGGCCUCCUGCCGGAACAGGGGCCCCGCCUUGCACGUUUUGAAGCUGAGUCCCAAGUGGGAGCCCCGCAGACUGAGCGGCCGCUCCAGCAGAACCUUGACAUGCGCCGAGCCAUCAAAGUACGCCUCGCGGUGACCUUUCUCGCUCGGAACGCCCUGGUCGCCCCAGACCGACCCCAGGAGACACCCUGAAAUCAAAACAAACACAAAUAUUUGUCAAUGAGUACAUUUUUUAUGUUUAGCGAUACGAAAAUUACACAAUCAACAUUUUUUUUGCUUAAUAUAUCUUUAAUAUUGAUUUUAAAAGCUGAUGGGAGCCAUUUAAAAAAAAUUUGAAAACCUGAUUUAGCACAAACAAAAUUAUAAAAAAAAUUUUAAAUCACCUAGUUCAAAAACUUUUUGAUCAAAACAUCUAAUUUCAUACAUCGCCAAUUUUAUUUUAUUGAACUAUUUUGUAGAUAAAUUCCCGAAGUAUUUACACGACACACCGCAUUUAUAUUCAUUCAAAGACUUCUGACUCGUAUUCACUCCUAUUGUUAAGUACAAAGUAGAAGAGUUUCUGCUACAAUUUAAUUUAAUACAAAUAUAAUUUUUUUUUUAUAUACAAUAAAAACAUUAUUUUCAAUACACUAUUGAAAAUUCAUCUAUGUAUUUAAUGUUCAAUACUUCCACUGACAACUUUCUUUGAUUAUGUUACAACGUUAAAUAAAAAAUCAAUAAAUAAAAACGACUAAUAAACAAUGAAAUACUCAAACAGAAGUGACAGGUGAAAAAUCUGGUAGGGCCUGUUAAACUUUCAGUUUACAAAAUAAAUGAAAGAAAUUUUAUAUUAAAAUACAUUCAUAUUUUAGUUUUUUUUUCUUUAUAUCGAUUGAUUUUUUCACUCACAAUUAAUGCCGUGAAUAUAAUUUCAUGAGCAACUGAAAAUAGCAGAAAUAGAAGAUUUUUCAAUAUUUUUCCAAAUUUCAGAACUGAUUCUUCUUAGAAAAAUCCAUUCAUUUAUAAAAUUCACUCUGCUAAAUUUUAUACUUCCUCAAGAAAGUAAGGAAAACUUUUUGGCCAAUUUCAAAUAAAAUGAAAGUAAACAACCUUUUUUCAACUGUCAAUU